AUGUGUGUUGUCAUGGUAACCGGUGUUGACCACGGCAGGUUAUACAUCAAUAUAAACUCAAACUCCACUCAGGCUCUGCUCAGUGUCAUUCAUUAUUUCACCUUUGUAUAUUUUGCCACUUAUGUGUUGCACCUAGGAGCUGCUCAGUACAACCACAGUGCUUACUGGUGGACCCUGGGAGCUGACCAGUACAACCACAGUGUUUACUGGUGGGAGCUGGGAGCCGACCAGUACAACCACAGUGUUUACUGGUGGACCCUGGGAGCUGCCCAGUACAACCACAGUGUUUACUGGUGGACCCUGGGAGCUGACCAGUACAACCACAGUGUUUACUGGUGGACCCUGGGAGCCGACCAGUACAACCACAGUGUUUACUGGUGGACCCUGGGAGCUGCCCAGUACAACCACAGUGUUUACUGGUGGACCCUGGGAGCUGACCAGUACAACCACAGUGUUUGCUGGUGGGAGCUGGGAGCUGACCAGUACAACCACAGUGUUUACUGGUGGACCCUGGGAGCUGACCAGUACAACCACAGUGUUUACUGGUGGGAGCUGGGAGCUGACCAGUACAACCACAGUGUUUACUGGUGGACCCUGGGAGCUGACCAGUACAACCCAAGUGUUUACUGGUGGACCCUGGGAGCCGACCAGUAUAACCACAGUGUUUACUGGUGGGAGCUGGGAGCUGACCAGUACAACCACAGUGUUUACUGGUGGACCCUGGGAGCUGCCCAGUACAACCACAGUGUUUACUGGUGGACCCUGGGAGCUGACCAGUACAACCACAGUGUUUACUGGUGGGAGCUGGGAGCUGACCAGUACAACCACAGUGUUUACUGGUGGGAGCUGGGAGCUGACCAGUACAACCACAGUGUUUACUGGUGGACCCUGGGAGCUGCCCAGUACAACCACAGUGUUUACUGGUGGACCCUGGGAGCUGACCAGUACAACCACAGUGUUUACUGGUGGACCCUGGUAGCCGACCAGUACAACCACAGUGUUUACUGGUGGACCCUGGGAGCUGCCCAGUACAACCACAGUGUUUACUGGUGGACCCUGGGAGCUGACCAGUACAACCACAGUGUUUACUGGUGGGAGCUGGGAGCUGACCAGUACAACCACAGUGUUUACUGGUGGGAGCUGGGAGCUGACCAGUACAACCACAGUGUUUACUGGUGGACCCUGGGAGCCGACCAGUGCAACCACAGUGUUUACUGGUGGACCCUGGGAGCCGACCAGUGCAACCACAGUGUUUACUGGUGGGAGCUGGCCAGCUAUUUUCCAUUCUAA
rnacentral:lncRNA from 1 species